GGAGAAAUGGCUGAGUGGUCGAAAGCGGUAGAUUGCUAAUCUAUUGUACAUGUUUUUGUACCGAGGGUUCGAAUCCCUCUUUCUCUU
rnacentral:tRNA from 1 species